rnacentral:rRNA from 1 species
CCUACGGGAGGCAGCAGUGAGGAAUAUUGGUCAAUGGACGAGAGUCUGAACCAGCCAAGUAGCGUGCAGGAUGACGGCCCUAUGGGUUGUAAACUGCUUUUAUAAGGGAAUAAAGUGAGAGUCGUGACUCUUUUUGCAUGUACCUUAUGAAUAAGGACCGGCUAACUCCGUGC